UUUCUUUCUUUAACAUUUAGGUCUCGACUCUGGUGAUGGUGGACAUGCUGCACAAUUUGACACACCGGCUGAGCGUUACAACAAGUUAAGAUAUGGUGCAACAGAUUUUCUUCUGAUUCAGUUUGGGAUGUGUACAUUUACUGCUGUAGAACGUGAACACAAGUACAUCGCACGUCCAUAUAACUU
rnacentral:sRNA from 1 species